rnacentral:rRNA from 1 species
UCAGGACGAACGCUGGCGGCGUGCUUCAUACAUGCAAGUCGAACGAGAAGUCACCUUCGGGUGAUGGAAAGUGGCGGACGGGUGAGUAAUGUGUAGAGAAUCUGCCCUUUAGUGGGGGACAACAGUUGGAAACGACUGCUAAUACCCCAUAUGCGCGUAGCUGAGAUGCUAUUCGUGAAAACUCCGGUGCUAAAGGAUGAGUCUGCAUCUGAUUAGCUAGUUGGCGGUGUAAUGGACCACCAAGGCGACGAUCAGUAGCUGGUUUGAGAGGAUGAUCAGCCACAAUGGGACUGAGACACGGCCCAUACUCCUACGGGAGGCAGCAGUAGGGAAUUUUGCGCAAUGGGGGAAACCCUGACGCAAGCGACGCCGCGUGAUUGAAUAAGCCCUUCGGGGUGUAAAGAUCUGUCAGUAGGGACGAAACUUGACGGUACCUACAGAGGAAGCAUCGGCUAACUCCGUGCCAGCCGCAGC